ensembl:rRNA 5S_rRNA 5S ribosomal RNA
GCUUACGGCCAUACCAGCCUGAAUACGCCCGAUCUCGUCUGAUCUCGGAAGCUAAGCAGGGUCGGGCCUGGUUAGUACUUGGAUGGGAGACCCGCCUGGGAAUACCAGGUGCUGUAAGCU